rnacentral:tRNA from 1 species
UGCAUCAGGCGGGAAUCGAACCCGGGGCCGCCCGCGUGGCAAGGCGAGCAUUCUACCACUAAGCCACCGAUGC